UUUCGCAAUGCCCGAAAGGGUGACGAAGCGACGCCGCGUGUGGGAAGAAGGCCUUCGGGUUGUAAACCACUGUCGGGAGUUAGGAAAUGCAGGUGCGUUAAUAGCGCACUUGCUUGACUAAGGCUCCAGAGGAAGCCACGGCUAACUCUGUGCCAGCAGCCGCGGUAAUACAGAGGCGGCAAGCGUUGUUCGGAAUUAUUGGGCGUAAAGAGCACGUAGGCGGCCUUGCAAGUCAGUUGUGAGAGCCUUCCGCUUAACGGAAGAACGGCAUCUGAUACUACAGGGCUUGAGUACGGGAGGGGAGAGUGGAACUUCUGGUGGAGCGGUGAAAUGCGUAGAUAUCAGAAGGAACGCCGGCGGCGAAAGCGACUCUCUGGUCCGAAACUGACGCUGAGUGUGCGAAAGCUAGGGGAGCAAACGGGAUUAGAUACCCCGGUAGUCCUAGCCGUAAACGAUGGGCACUAAGUAGAGGGGUUUU
rnacentral:rRNA from 1 species